AGCUGGCUUGACGUGAGGCCCAGGGAAGAGAGAGACUCCCCCGCUCCACGCGCAGGAGUGACGUGGAGUCACCCAAGCUUCCAGAACUGUCACUGCUGCCUCCUCCUCCUAGCUGCAAGGACCUCAGCUUCAUGGGUUUACUGACACUCUGCUCAGAAGCCUUUCUACCACUUCAUCAUCUCCGAGAGACAGCAUGGCCGCAGUGUCUCCCAGCUGCCAUCUCCCUUCCCGCAUGGCUUCUCCAGACUACUGAAAGCAUGCCCGAGAGUCAGGGUGGCAGCCCAGGGGACACUUGUUCAAAUUCUAUAUCUAUGUUCAAAUUCUAUCCCUCUUUCUUUCUUGCUGUGUGAUCUUGAAUGACCUCUUCGUGGUGUCUCCAUUUCUACAUUGAUGAAAAGCAGGGUCUAGAAUACAGGAAAGAUGAACGGCUUGCUCCGGAACAUCACCUGCCAGCCUGGUUCUGGAACAGCUCUGUACCUGCCAGAUCUGAAUGCAAAGUGAUACCACAUCCUCAGGGUGCCCAGGGCUAGGCACACUUUGUAGCUGAGCUGGGCAUCAGUCAGGAAGUCCUGCAGAGCAGAACCAGGCUCCAUCUCCUACCCAGGGUGAUGCUGUUGCUAGGUGACCUGAGCAGAGUGGCUGUAGCACUAGGGACCAUGAUCCUGUCCCAUCUGCCUCCACCCCCAGAAAGUCCUUGCUUGGAGAUGGCAGAGGGUCUGGCAUGCAGUGUGUCACCUCACUGCACACAAAUCGCAUGGCUGAGCCAGUCAGAAGAGUACCCAGAAUGUCACGCCCCGGGGGGGGGUGGCAUGUGACUAUUUACAAGGGUUCUCGUGGUGAAACCAUCCCAGGUUGAAAUAUUGGAAGGAAUGCAGCCAUUGCGGGAAGCCCUGGACCGUCCCUCUUUAUGGUCUGUCUGAAGAGACUAGACUGGCACACAGAGCCAAUGACAUGAUCCUUGUGAGCUGAGACCUGCAAACAACCUUGGUGUCUGUCAACUGAAGAUUGCAAAAUGACAACGUGAUGCCGUACAGCUGGAAUACUCCUCAGCCAUUACAGAGGAAAAAAAAAUGACAUCCUGUCAUCAGAAAGCAGCACAGGUGGAGGUGGAUCCCGUGUUAGAUGGAGUAAGUCAGGCCCAGAGAGAGACACAUCAUGUGGCCUCACUCAUGUGUGCAAGGUCAAGGACGUUGAUCUCCCAGAAGCUGGGGAUAAAACUGUGACCACCAAAGAUGAAAGAGCAAGGAGAGGUGGAGACACACAGCUUGUUUGGAGGGGUGAUUCCAGGCCUUACUAAUCUCCAUGUAUGUUCAGUCUCCAUGUGUGUGUACAUCAGCUAAAAAUAUAAUCCCAGCUCUGAUGGUAGCACACAUGUAAUCCCAGCUCUGAUGGUAGCACACAGGUAACCCCAGCUCUGAUGGUAGCACACAUGUGCCACUCAUCUCGUCUCAAAGCACAAAGUAAAAAAAAAAAACAUCUUCAAUCAAGCUCUGAUCAUUUGAGGGUCAUCUUCUCCAAGCCACAGCAAGCAGAAGGGACACUAUUGGAGUAGACUCUGAGCCCCUCCCCCAAUGACUUCUGGUCCUACAUGCUACCCUAGGGAAGGAGAGUGAGUGUCCCCAGCCCCCAGAAAGAAGUGACUGACAACCCAAAACCCAGGACAAGCAAAAGAGAGGAACAUAGGUUUGGUCCCCCGCCCACUCACCCAACAGUACUGAGAUUUCCAUCCAAGGAUCCCAGGCAGUUGGAAACCAACAUUAUAUCAGGACACUGUCAUCUGAACCCCUCUUCUGGAAUACCGAGGCUCACACUGCUAUGUACAAUCUGUGGAGGAGCCACACCUCUAAUAGCAUGUGAGUAACCAGAGAGGUCAGGGCCUGGGACCCAGAAAAUCGAGACUCCAGUUACCCUAUGCAAGGACUCCAGGGCAAAGAGGAGCUUCCUGAAUCCACAACAGACUCUUAAGUGCUGCUUCUGUGCCCUCGAAGGACUUGAGGCCACGGUGGCAGCUGGAUCCAGUGCUCAGGAGGGUGGAUGCUGGGGGUUCCCCAGGAUGCCUGGGCCUCCCCACUAAGCAGAUGAAUAGAAACACAGGUGCUGCUUCAGACUGUUCACAGACACUAACUGAUUUGUCCUGUGCUCCAGGAGGGGUGUGAUUCU